rnacentral:rRNA from 1 species
GGCGGUUCGCUGCCCGCGACGUUGUGAGAAGUCCACUGAACCUUAUCAUUUAGAGGAAGGAGAAGUCGUAACAAGGUUUUCCGUAGGUGAACCUGCGGAAGGAUCAUUG